CUCUUUCCCUACAAGACGCUCUGCCGGUCUCCAGCUUUUACUUCUCAGUGGUCUGCUCUGGCAUGCUUCUAAGGAUGUCAGAAUCGCCAGGAUCAAUGAUAGCCAGUGUGCACACUCAGUAGUAUUUUCCACAUGCUGUACCCAAUUCAAUAUUGUUGCCGUUGUAGUGAUGCAUACCAGUCUUUGCCAACAUAGCAUGGUACUCAAUCUCUGAUUUUCUCAAAGCUGGACAGUUGUUGGCGAGGAUGACCAACUUAGCUUUGCCCUGCCGAAUCAUUUUGCUGGGAUGUGGAAAGACUUACCCUUCAAAGAUGAAAUCCACCUCCAUACAAAGGUCCUGCAUAAGGCACUGAACAACACUAAGUCCCAUUUAGGCCCUGUGCUGAGAGGUCAGUGGUGCAAAGGGGCGUUGCAAAUGCCCUCCACAUUGGAGUGAAUUUC